CCUACGGGUGGCAGCAGUGGGGAAUAUUGCGCAAUGGGCGAAAGCCUGACGCAGCCACGCCGCGUGAGUGAUGAAGGCCUUCGGGUUGUAAAGCUCUGUCGGGAGGGAAGAAGGGGAAACCCUGACGGUACCUCGCAAGAAAGCACCGGCUAACUCUGUGCCAGCAGCCGCGGUAAUACAGAGGGUGCAAGCGUUGCUCGGAUUUACUGGGCGUAAAGCGUACGCAGACGGCUUGGCAGGUCGGGCGUGAAAGCCCUGGGCUCAACCCAGGAAAUGCGCUCGAAACCACCUCGCUCGAGGAUAGGAGAGGAAAGCGGAAUUCCCGGUGUAGAGGUGAAAUUCGUAGAUAUCGGGAGGAACACCAGCGGCGAAGGCGGCUUUCUGGCCUAUCACUGACGUUCAGGUACGAAAGCGUGGGUAGCAAACAGGAUUAGAUACCCCUGUAGUC
rnacentral:rRNA from 1 species